rnacentral:rRNA from 1 species
GAUGAWCGCUGGCGGCGUGCCUAACACAUGCAAGUCGAACGGAGAUUUAACGCUGAUGAAGCUUCGGCAGAUUCUUGUUAAAUCUUAGUGGCGGACGGGUGAGUAACGCGUGGGCAACCUGCCUCAUACUGGGGGAUAACAGCUGGAAACGACUGUUAAUACCGCAUAAGCGCACGGUAUCGCAUGAUACAGUGUGAAAAACUCCGGUGGUAUGAGAUGGGCCCGCGUCAGAUUAGCCAGUUGGCAGGGUAACGGCCUACCAAAGCGACGAUCUGUAGCCGGCCUGAGAGGGCGGACGGCCACAUUGGGACUGAGACACGGCCCAAACUCCUACGGGAGGCAGCAGUGGGGGAUAUUGCACAAUGGAGGAAACUCUGAUGCAGCGACGCCGCGUGAGUGAAGAAGUAUUUCGGUAUGUAAAGCUUCUAUCAGCAGGGAAGAAAGUGCUCGUNAGAGAGAUGACG